rnacentral:rRNA from 1 species
AUUGAACGCUGGCGGCAUGCCUUACACAUGCAAGUCGAACGGCAGCAUGGAAGAGCUUGCUCUUCUGAUGGCGAGUGGCGAACGGGUGAGUAAAGCAUCGGAACGUACCGUGUAGUGGGGGAUAACGUAGCGAAAGUUACGCUAAUACCGCAUACGCACUGAGGUGGAAAGCAGGGGAUCGCAAGACCUUGCGCUAUACGAGCGGCCGAUGUCAGAUUAGCUAGUUGGUAGGGUAAAGGCCUACCAAGGCGACGAUCUGUAGCGGGUCUGAGAGGAUGAUCCGCCACACUGGGACUGAGACACGGCCCAGACUCCUACGGGAGGCAGCAGUGGGGAAUUUUGGACAAUGGGCGAAAGCCUGAUCCAGCCAUGCCGCGUGAGUGAAGAAGGCCUCGGUUGU